GAUGAACGCUGGCGGCGUGCCUAAUACAUGCAAGUCGAGCGAACAGACGAGGAGCUUGCUCCUCUGACGUUAGCGGCGGACGGGUGAGUAACACGUGGAUAACCUACCUAUAAGACUGGGAUAACUUCGGGAAACCGGAGCUAAUACCGUAUAAUAUAUUGAACCGCAUGGUUCAAUAGUGAAAGACGGUUUUGCUGCCACUUAUAGAUGGAUCCGCGCCGCAUUAGCUAGUUGGUAAGGUAACGGCUUACCAAGGCAACGAUGCGUAGCCGACCUGAGAGGGUGAUCGGCCACACUGGAACUGAGACACGGUCCAGACUACUACGGGAGGCAGCAGUAGGGAAUCUUCCGCAAUGGGCGAAAGCUUGACGGAGCAACGCCGCGUGAGUGAUGAAGGUCUUCGGAUCGUAAAACUCUGUUAUUAGGGAAGAACAAAUGUGUAAGUAACUAUGCACGUCUUGACGGUACCUAAUCAGAAAGCCACGGCUAACUACGUG
rnacentral:rRNA from 1 species